GACGAACGCUGGCGGCGUGCCUAAUACAUGCAAGUAGAACGCUGAAGGAGGAGCUUGCUUCUCUGGAUGAGUUGCGAACGGGUGAGUAACGCGUAGGUAACCUGCCUGGUAGUGGGGGAUAACUAUUGGAAACGAUAGCUAAUACCGCAUAAUAGCAGUUGUUGCAUGAUAACUGUUUGAAAGGUGCAAUUGCACCGCUACCAGAUGGACCUGCGUUGUAUUAGCUAGUUGGUGGGGUAACGGCUCACCAAGGCGACGAUACAUAGCCGACCUGAGAGGGUGAUCGGCCACACUGGGACUGAGACACGGCCCAGACUCCUACGGGAGGCAGCAGUAGGGAAUCUUCGGCAAUGGACGGAAGUCUGACCGAGCAACGCCGCGUGAGUGAAGAAGGUUGUCGGAUCGUAAAGCUCUGUUGUAAGAGAAGAACGAGUGUGAGAGUGGAAAGUUCACACUGUGACGGUAUCUUACCAGAAAGGGACGGCUAACUACGUG
rnacentral:rRNA from 1 species